AAGAAAUGCUUAAGUGUAGUAUUUGAAAUACAUUUUUGUCACAAAUGGCACCAAUGCUGUGUCACAUUUUCUUGCCAGUCCAAAGUCUACAGCAGUUGCGAGGAAGGCGGCAGUUCACAUGGGUUCCAUCUCCAUGGUAACUUGUUUACAAGGACUGAAAUACAUGCUGAAAAUUCAAGGGAGAAGAGACCAACCUCCUUGCUGCAACCUCCUUUGAGGGUCAGAUGUCCCUAGACACAUCAUCUUGUGUAGCGUCCUCUCACUUUGAAGAGUCAGCUGGUGGUGAAAGAGCAGGCUGCAGACCACUGGCUGCCAGU
rnacentral:lncRNA from 1 species